rnacentral:rRNA from 1 species
GUGGGGAAUAUUCCGCAAUGGACGAAAGUCUGACGGAGCAACGCCGCGUGAGUGAUGAAGGUUUUCGGACUGUAAAGCUCUGUUGUUUAGGACGAAAGUGCCUGUUGCAAAUAGUUACAGGUAUUGACGGUACUGAACGAGGAAGCCACGGCUAACUACGUGCCAGCAGCCGCGGUAAUACGUAGGUGGCAAGCGUUGUCCGGAAUUAUUGGGCGUAAAGAGCAUGUAGGCGGGAAUCUAAGUCUGUUGUGAAAAUGCGGGGCUCAACCCCGUAUUGCGAUGGAAGCUGGGUUUCUUGAGUGCAGGAGAGGAAAGGGGAAUUCCCAGUGUAGCGGUGAAAUGCGUAGAUAUUGGGAGGAACACCAGUGGCGAAGGCGCCUUUCUGGACUGUGUCUGACGCUGAGAUGCGAAAGCCAGGGUAGCGAACGGGAUUAGAUACCCUUGUAGUCC